rnacentral:rRNA from 1 species
GUUUAUCAAAAACAUGUCUUUUUGAAUUUAAUUUAAAGUCUAGCCUGCCCACUGAAUUAGUUUAAAUGGCCGCAGUAUUUUAACUGUGCAAAGGUAGCAUAAUCAUUAGUCUUUUAAUUGAAGGCUGGAAUGAAUGGUUGGAUGAAAUAUUAACUGUUUCAUAUAAAUUAAUAAUAGAAUUUUAUUUUUUAGUCAAAAAGCUAAAAUUUAAUUAAAAGACGAGAAGACCCUAUAAAUCUUUAUAUUUUAUUGGGGUGAUAUUAAAAUUUAAUAAACUUUUAAUUAAAAAUUAACAUUAAUUAAUGAAUUAUUGAUCCAUAAAUUAUGAUUAAAAAAUUAAGUUACUUUAGGGAUAACAGCGUAAUUUUUUUAGAGAGUUCUUAUUGAUAAAAAAGAUUGCGACCUCGAUGU